ACCAGGAGGCUGAGGCCCCU
rnacentral:miRNA from 3 species